GGAGGCUGAAGGCGGGAGGAUUGCUUGAGCCCAGGAGUUCUAGACCAGCCUGGGCAACAUGGUGAAACCCUGUCUCUACCAAAAAUACAAAAAUUAGCUGGGUGGUGGCGCACACCUGUGGCCCUAGCUAGUAGGCUGAGGUGGGAGGAUUGUUUGAGCCCAGGAGGCAGAGGUUUCAGUGAGCUGAGAUGGCACCACUGCAUUCCAGCCGGGCAACAGAGCCAGACCCUGUCUCAAAAAAAAAGAGGUAAUGCUCACAGAGCUUUUACUCUGCCAGUCACUGUUCUAACUAAGCCCUUUAUGCACAUUAGCCACUUAAUCCUCCUCAAAACUCCAUGAUGUGGAUACCAUUAUCACCCUGAUUUUAGAAAUGAGGAAUGAGGAGACAAGAGGUUUAAAUGGCAUGACCAAAGAAAGUCUCCUAACAGCAGGAAAGUAGAACUUGAUCUGAAGCAGUCCAGCUCCAGAAUCCUUGUUCCUGACCACUGUGCUAUAUUACCUCUCCUUAAAGAACUUCACAGUCUUCAUCACUAGCUGCUUCUAGAUUUUGUCUUAGCAUUCCUCUUUCCUACUGGACUAUAUGCUCUAAGAGUGCAGGAACUCCAUCUGUUGUCUUCCUCACUGAAUCUCCAAUAAAUGAUGGACAUUCAAUAAAUAUCUGACUGACUCACUAGCAGCGUCCUUCUCAACAAUCAAAAUGAACUCAGUAUGUUUUAAAAAUUUGAAUAAGAUGGUUACUCCCAUAUCUUAUAUAAUAACUAUCAAAAAUAUUUUCGUGUUUGGCUAUGUAAGGCAUUCGGCUAUGUAAAAGAAUACACAAGUGUUAUAGGAAAUGUAUGAAAACAAGUGAAGCAAAGAAGAUCUAAGCACUGCAUUUGCUUACAAACGCAUGGUACACAGCCCAGUGAGUAAAUGUUCUUGUCUCUGAAAUGGCUAAGGCACAGUGAGAGUUUUGCAACUUGCAUUGACUUUUUACUACACCCCAACUCAUUCCAAUAUUUUUGCAGAGUGGAAGAAGAACUUUGAAUCUUUUAAAAAGUACUAAGUAGACUAAUAUUUGUAAAUCACCACAAAGGAUUAUUUCAGGAAAAUGGCAAAUGUUUGAAAAAUCAAUCUUCCAAUGAGUUCCCUAAGUCAUAAAAAUUGGUAGAAAACAGCUUUACUGUAUCCAUUUCACAAGGAAAGUUUUUGAAGAACAUAUGUUAGAGCUUACAGGUCCAGUACUUGAUUUUCAUCAAAUCCCCUCUGAUUUAUCUGAAGCCUUAGAUGUGCAGCCAAUUUAGUGAAUACUGGCCCCUUCGACUCCAUCCACCUACAUUCACCUAAUCUGGAUUCACUCUUUCCAUCCUCAAUCCAUGUUGUUUGGGUAACACCCUCUCUCAUUUUCCAUUCCCAACUGCAGGGACUAACCAAGCCUAAGCCAAUCAAAAUAUUGUAUCCCCCUCACCCACACACAGUGAUUAGUUCAGGAACAUCCACAAGGACGCAUCAGAGCCCAUGACAGAAAAUGAAACAGUCUGGAUGUCUGAGAAGGAAUCUUUCACUUUCUCCUACUGGACAGAAACCAGAAAAGAGGUAGGUGUUGGAGCUACUACUAUCUUGCCAUCAUGUGGUGCCUGAUACCCUGAUUCUGAAACCAGCACAACAGAAGACAGAGCCCUACAUUCAACCAUGCCUAUAAAGCCAGAUUUAAUUCUGAACUUUUCACUUAUGUGAGCAAAUAAGUUAUCUUCUUCCUUAAAGCACUUUGGGUCAGAAUUUUUUUUUUUUUUUUUUUUUUUUUUACUUUCAACCAAAGAAGUCCUGGCUGAUAUGACCAAGAUUUAUAUUAAUUUCUAACACAACAUAUGAAGGUAAUGUAAUGAAACAGGGGUCUUCUACAGAAGCAAACAGUCAUUCUGUUGAUAAAAGAUCACUUUUCUACUACCCACUUACACUGUACAGAUAGUUUGAAAAGUGAAGUGUUGUGAUUAUAGCAACACUCUAGAAACAAUUCAUCUUCUGUUAUUCAGUCUCAUACAGUGCAUAUUCUACAGCACUAUCCAGAGUCAAUGCUAUGUAUUCCAUGCUACACAAAGACCAAUGUAAAAAGAAGAGGUGUGUGACUCAGCUCAAAUGAAGGGCUAAUACACACAAUUCUGACUGACGUCCAAAAAAUGCAGCUGUAUUAGUUUGUGAUUUUGUCACUAUCAGAUUUAUAUUUGGUCAUACGCAUAAAGAGAACAAUGAUUAAAAACAAAUCAAUACCCUCUUUCCACUUUGCCAACUGGAUGUAUGUCUUUACUGGUCAUUCCAGUGGGGCAAACGAAAUAUCCUUUUUAAAACUCAGGCAAACUGGGUGUUUGUCAUGGUCAUGUAUCCUGUCAGAGAAAACAAACUGAAAACAAACAAACAAACAAAAAUGCCCAAAUCAAGGCAAAUUUAGAACCUUAAAUAGGCCGGGCACGGUGGCUCAUGCCUAUACUCCCAGCACUUUGGGAGGCCAAGGCAGGCGGAUUACCUGAGGUCAGGAGCUUGAGACCAGCCUGGCCAACAA
rnacentral:lncRNA from 1 species